GAAGAAAUCACAAAUUUUAGUUUCUUCAUUACUUUCUUUUACUACAGAUUCGCAUAUUUGGUAUUUGGUAAUAGGGCUUACAACAAUAAUCUUCUUUCUUCUCUGUACCUUAAUUUUGAGAUAGUGACAUUAUUCUUUCUGUAAAGAAUAAUUUUAUGAGUAUUUUCAAUGCACAAUAUGUUGUAUACUGACCAGGACUGCAACUUAUUUUUGGCUUUAUAGAACUACUGGUGCGUCUCGUAUAUCCGGUAUCACCAAAAGAAUUGCUCAAUGGGCUUAGCACUGCACAGUUAUGCUAUUGUGCUAGAGGAGAGAAAGAUGCAUUUUGCAAAGUGAGACAUUGCAAUGCUUCAAAAGGAUUCAGCUUUUGCAAGCGUAAUGUUCUGAUACAAGAAAUGGACGUUCCCACUGCUGCACUUCGACAAGGGGAGAGCUCUAUAAAUGACAACAACAAUGUGGUUCCAAAUUCACCCUGCCCAGAUAAGAGUCAAUCAGAUAUGCAGUUCCCAAUAGAAGCAUAUUAGUGAAAUAUAUUAUUUCCAGUAACCUAUAAAUUAUAGUUGAGUUAUUAUUCCAUAAUAUUGCAGGCUUUAAUGAAGAAUGUCUCUCUUAGCUUGGUUGAGGUGAAUACUCCAGUUUCUCAUAUCAAUCAGAAUCGGGUUAUUUUGGAAGGAGUACUUUUGAAUUUUUAGUUUCAGUGUUGCAACAGUUCAGUUGACGUAAUAGUUUAUUAAUUUUUUUUAUAGUAA